GUAGGUGGCAAGCGUUGUCCGGAAUUAUUGGGCGUAAAGCGCGCGCAGGUGGGUUCUUUAAGUCUGAUGUGAAAGCCCCCGGGCUCAACCGGGGAGGGUCAUUGGAAACUGGGGAACUUGAGUGCAGGAGAGGAAAGUGGAAUUCCACGUGUAGCGGUGAAAUGCGUAGAUAUGUGGAGGAACACCAGUGGCGAAGGCGACUUUCUGGCCUGUAACUGACACUGAGGCGCGAAAGCGUGGGGAGCAAACAGGAUUAGAUACCCUGGUAGUCCACGCCGUAACGAUGAGUGCUAAGUGUUGGGGGGUUUCCGCCCCUCAGUGCUGCAGCUAACGCAUUAAGCACUCCGCCUGGGGAGUACGGUCGCAAGACUG
rnacentral:rRNA from 1 species